GUAGGAAGGCGUCCCCGGUGGGGCGACCGGUCUUCAAAACCGAGUUGGGGCCGCCAGCGGUCCCGGGUGGGUUCGACUCCCAUUUCCUACC
rnacentral:tRNA from 1 species